rnacentral:rRNA from 1 species
GACGAACGCUGGCGGCGUGCCUAAUACAUGCAAGUAGAACGCUGAAGGAGGAGCUUGCUUCUCUGGAUGAGUUGCGAACGGGUGAGUAACGCGUAGGUAACCUGCCUGGUAGCGGGGGAUAACUAUUGGAAACGAUAGCUAAUACCGCAUAAUAGUAGAUGUUGCAUGACAUUUGCUUAAAAGGUGCAAUUGCAUCACUACCAGAUGGACCUGCGUUGUAUUAGCUAGUUGGUGGGGUAACGGCUCACCAAGGCGACGAUACAUAGCCGACCUGAGAGGGUGAUCAGCCACACUGGGACUGAGACACGGCCCAGACUCCUACGGGAGGCAGCAGUAGGGAAUCUUCGGCAAUGGACGGAAGUCUGACCGAGCAACGCCGCGUGAGUGAAGAAGGUUGUCGGAUCGUAAAGCUCUGUUGUAAGAGAAGAACGAGUGUGAGAGUGGAAAGUUCACACUGUGACGGUAUCUUACCAGAAAGGGACGGCUAACUACGUG